UACCGGAUUGGACGAGUCGGUUAACUGAAGUAUAUAAGGCGUAAAUUUCUAGCUGAACAUCAAUCAAGCGAGUUGUUUCACAACGAAUAAGGUUUGUGAAUUGGAUAGCUGAAUCACAAGAAACACAAAUGUUCUGGCCUUUUUGGUUUCUUGUUCUAGGGUUGACCCGUGUACAAAAGAUAACUGGAUUACAGUGGGAAGGAGUAGUUAAAGGAGCCAUACCAUCUACAGCCGUCCCAAUCAGGCCUAAUGGCGCUUCCCUCUUUUACUUCUGCGAGGUGGUAGUGUCCUCGAAGGGGGGACAAAGAAUACCUGGUACACUGAGACCAACAGACAAUUCCUGUAAAUACGAAGUAGACGAUGCUGUUAAGAGCUCAACAGAGUUCAAUGUUCUCGUUAACCCUAGUGGAGCCUCUUUAAAGUGGGAAUACGGUAAUCCGAGGAAGGGUGUCCCCGCUGGUGCUGUGAAAUGUCAUGAAGGCGAUAACUGUUACUUAGGACAAAGUAUUUACGGUGAUGGAAUAUGUGCGGAACUUCCCGGGAAAAUAUUUACUGAUCAGAUUCAAAUGAUUAUGACUAACGAUGAAAAGAUUUUUAAAUGCCCUUUUAAAAUGUUCUUAGUGGAAACUGUAUGAAAUUAAACUGAUUUCAUUUGGUAUAAAACAUUUGGUAUAAAACAUUUGGUAUAAAACAUUGUGUUCUGCACGACGAAGUAAAACAUAAUUGUGUAAUGAAUAUUAUAAAAUAUGUUUAAUCAUUUA